rnacentral:rRNA from 1 species
GUAGGUGGCAAGCGUUGUCCGGAAUUAUUGGGCGUAAAGCGCGCGCAGGCGGCUCUUUAAGUCUGAUGUGAAAGCCCACGGCUCAACCGUGGAGGGUCAUUGGAAACUGGAGAACUUGAGUACAGAAGAGGAAAGCGGAAUUCCACGUGUAGCGGUGAAAUGCGUAGAGAUGUGGAGGAACACCAGUGGCGAAGGCGGCUUUCUGGUCUGUAACUGACGCUGAGGCGCGAAAGCGUGGGGGAGCAAACAGGAUUAGAUACCCUGGUAGUCCACGCCGUAAACGAUGAGUGCUAAGUGUUAGGGGGUUUUCCGCCCCGUUAGUGCUGCAGCUAACGCAUUAAGCACUCCGCCUGGGAGUACGGCCGCAAGGCUG